rnacentral:snRNA from 1 species
GGAUGUGAGGGCGAUCUGGCUGCGACAUCUGUCACCCCAUUGAUCGCCAGGGUUGAUUCGGCUGAUCUGGCUGGCUAGGCGGGUGUCCCCUUCCUCCCUCACCGCUCCAUGUGCGUCCCUCCCGAAGCUGCGCGCUCGGUCGAAGAGGACGACCAUCCCCGAUAGAGGAGGACCGUUCUUCGGUCAAGGGUAUACGAGUAGCUGCGCUCCCCUGCUAGAACCUCCAAACAAGCUCUCAAGAAUCAUUAAAGUUAUUAUUUAAAUGUUAUCCAAACACUGAACCUGGAUCUUUUGUGUCAUUCUCUUGACACACAACCUGGU